rnacentral:rRNA from 1 species
CAGCAGCCGCGGUAAUACGAAGGGGGCUAGCGUUGCUCGGAAUUACUGGGCGUAAAGGGAGCGUAGGCGGACAUUUAAGUCAGGGGUGAAAUCCCGGGGCUCAACCUCGGAAUUGCCUUUGAUACUGGGUGUCUUGAGUAUGAGAGAGGUAUGUGGAACUCCGAGUGUAGAGGUGAAAUUCGUAGAUAUUCGGAAGAACACCAGUGGCGAAGGCGACAUACUGGCUCAUUACUGACGCUGAGGCUCGAAAGCGUGGGGAGCAAACAGGAUUAGAUACCCCCGUAGUUCCUGUCUCUUAACA